UAUGACUCUUUAUAAUAAACAGCAAGGCAAUUAAGCUUGUCCCUUCGGGGACAUCCGAUAAAAUUGGAACGAUACAGAGAAGAUUAGCAUGGCCCCUGCGCAAGGAUGACACGCAUAAAUCGAGAAAUGGUCCAAAUUUUUUUCUUCUUUCUUCCAAUUUUCGCCUCUUGCUCAUCAGGUGCUGGUUGGGUAUACAUAAUUUCCUUUGCACGUGGAAUGGAGUCCCCUUACCCCAACCCAAGUGCUAUUCCUUCACAAUCACCAACUUGCAAAAGAGCCCUCCUCUUCCUGAGUAUAUAAUCAACCUUGCAAUUUUGCCAAUGUUGCUGCACAUCUAAAGCUGGUAGUGGGCAAUAGGCACAACAAAACUUUUAACUUGAGACUGCUUUCAACCAGGAUGGUAUUAAAUUUGAACUGGAGGAAGAAUGGAUGGUGAUGUUUGCAAUCCUCUUUGGUUGGAUGAGACUCAAAAGUCUGGAUUCUCGAGUUGAUUUGUUAAGGAAAAUUUGUGACUAGUAGUAACUAAUAAGCUUUCGUAAAAAUUAGAUAGAAUUUACUUGUGAAGUUUUAAAUUAUUACCUACAGAUGACAUUGAUGUGAAGAGGAAUGGCAGGGAAAGCAUUGCACGAGCCAUGCUAAGAAAGAGAGCGGUCUGCUUGAUGUUUGAUUGCAUUGUUGUUUUGGCACUCGUAAGGAGUGUAAAGCUAUUGGGAUGUGAUUAAGAUGUUGAAAUAACACACACAUGAGAACUUUUUGUGUUUAUAUAUGCUUGUCUUUUGGUAGUCUAUUGAUUUUGCAUUUUGAAUU